rnacentral:misc_RNA from 1 species
UUUAUAGGUGUAGAUGGGUACUGGUGAAGGAACAUACUAUUAAGUGGAAAAACACUUGGUGAUCAAUGCUGUGGCAUGCAAUUUAUAUUUCCAUGAUCAUUAUUUUGUACUUCCAAUUUUUCAAAUUUUCUAUGUGGCUUUUGGCAUUUUGUUUUUGGAGGACAUAUUGCUAAAUUUUUCUCCUCUUAAAUGUAGUGGUGUAUAAAAAUUAUCUUAACUGAAGUUGUUUCUAUGGAAAAAGAAAAUAAGGGGACUUGCUUGCUUGAGAUAGUAUUUAACUUCAAAUUAAAAAUAGAGAAAACUGAAGGACUGAUAAACACUUUGUGCUUCCUGGAUCCAAAAUAAAGAAAUAUCAAGGCAUCAACUGAGUGGUAAACCUUUUAGCAGACUGAGGUUAGUCUUGGCCUGAUGUAAUUCGUAUUUGGAGGAUCAUUUGAACGUUGUUCUACCUUUUUUAUGCCCUCUAGCUUCUCUCUGUGUGUUCUAUGGGAGUACUUCAGUUCUGGUUUAUCCUUUCGAAAUUUUUGACCAUGGUUUAUCAAUUGGUAGUAGAUGGAAAAGUAUGACAUGUGCCUGUGCCUCCAUGGCAUGUGUACCAUUGCCAGAAAAACUUUUUAAUUCUUGGAAUUUCGAGCAAAAUGAAACAAAAGGAAAAUAAAUUAAAAAAAAGAAAAGAAGGAAAACAUAAGCACAACUCAGUGUGUUUACACUUUCAUCACAUUAUAUUCCUAGUUUAAUAAUAUCUUUAUCAUUAGAUGCAAGGCAUAGUCAAUAGAUUAUGUUUGUAAUUAUAUUUGGAGCUUUUCACAUUUCAUUCUUGGUAGUUGUUAAAAAUGUUUAUUGCAUGAGUUUCGUUCUGUGUUUCAUUUUCAACCACCUAUAAAACAAAUCUGUCAUGUAUAACAUGUCUCUGAUGUUGCCACUGCAGGCAAGAUAUUUGAGAUUGGUUCAACUGGAAUUAGUAGCCUGGGAGGUCAUAGUGAAAGAAGAACAACAUGUGUUAACAGAUUUGUUGCGGAAUAUGGGCGAAUGCCCCUGGUAUAUACAUCUGUUAAGGCUGUUGAUAGCCGCCAUGCCUGGUUCUGGUGAUGCUGUGGAUUCUUCUAUAUUUUGAAUUGCUGAAUUUCCACUUCCCUUUGAGC